rnacentral:rRNA from 1 species
AACGAACGCUGGCGGCGCGUCUUAAGCAUGCAAGUCGAACGGUAAGGGAGAGCUUGCUCUCCCCUAGAGUGGCGGACUGGUGAGUAACGCGUGGGUGACCUGCCCUGAAGAUGGGGAUAGCUAGUAGAAAUAUUAGAUAAUACCGAAUGUGCUCAUUUACAUAAAGGUAAAUGAGGAAAGGAGCUACGGCUCCGCUUCAGGAUGGGCCCGCGUCCCAUUAGCUAGUUGGUGAGGUAAAGGCUCACCAAGGCAACGAUGGGUAUCCGGCCUGAGAGGGUGAACGGACACAUUGGGACUGAGAUACGGCCCAAACUCCUACGGGAGGCAGCAGCUAAGAAUCUUCCGCAAUGGACGAAAGUCUGACGGAGCGACGCCGUGUGAAUGAAGAAGGCCGAAAGGUUGUAAAAUUCUUUUGCAGAUGAAGAAUAAACAUAGGAGGGAAUGCCUGUGAGAUGACGGUAAUCAUGCGAAUAAGCCCCGGCUAAUUACGUGC